rnacentral:rRNA from 1 species
GAGGUCCCGCCUGCCCAGUGAUAUUAUUUAACGGCCGCGGUACUCUAACCGUGCGAAGGUAGCACAAUAACUUGUUCUUUAAAUAAGGACUAGAAUCAAUGGCUUCACGAGGGUUAUUCUGUCUCCUUUUUCUAAUCAGUGAAACUGAUCUCCCCGUGAAGAAGCGGGGAUGUUUUUAUAAGACGAGAAGACCCCAUGGAGCUUUAAACUCAUCAGAUACCCUUUAUUAAUUAUAUUAUAUUUUUGGUAACUAUCUGCUGGCUUUGGGUUGGGGUGACCGCGGAGAAUAACUUAACCUCCACAAUGAAAAGAAUAAUAUCCUAAUCUGAGAGGGACACCUCUAAGAAUUAAUAGUUUAACAUAUAAUGAUCCGAUACUAUUAUUUGAUCAAUGAACCAAGUUACCCUGGGGAUAACAGCGCCAUCCACUUCAAGAGUCCCUAUCGACGAGUGGGUUUACGACCUCGAUGUUGGAUCAGGGUAUCCUAGUGGUGCAGCCGCUACUAAAGGUUCGUUUGUUCAACGAUUAAAACCCU